rnacentral:misc_RNA from 1 species
GUGAAUCAUCGAAUUUUUGAACGCAAAUUGCACUCUCCUCGGGGAGUAUGACUGUUUGAGGGUCAGCAUAUAAAAAUAGACAUCGUUGCUGUUUCGCGGUGGCGUUCGUCGGAAAUUGGGUCAUCUUAAAUCCUUUUGAUUUAAGCGACUUAAAAUUUUCUUUUGGUUCCAUGAACGUUGCUAAGAUAUAUUUCUUUACACGUUUAAGGUAUUGAUUUUUACUAGACGUGACCUUAAUAUCGGAGUUCGCACAUAAUCUUUUAUUAACUGAUCUAAGAAAGG